ACGGAAGGCAGCAGUGGGGAAUACUGGGCAAUGGGCGAAAGCCUGACCCAGCAACGCCGCGUGAAGGAAGAAGGUCUUCGGAUUGUAAACUUCUUUUAUGAGGGACGAUAAUGACGGUACCUCAUGAAUAAGCCACGGCUAACUACGUGCCAGCAGCCGCGGUAAUACGUAGGUGGCAAGCGUUAUCCGGAUUUACUGGGUGUAAAGGGCGCGUAGGCGGGAAAGCAAGUCAGAUGUGAAAUCCAUGGGCUCAACUCAUGAACUGCAUUUGAAACUGUUUUUCUUGAGUGUCGGAGAGGUAGAUGGAAUUCCUAGUGUAGCGGUGAAAUGCGUAGAUAUUAGGAAGAACACCAGUGGCGAAGGCGAUCUACUGGACGAUAACUGACGCUGAGGCGCGAAAGCGUGGGGAGCAAACAGGAUUAGAUACCCUGGUA
rnacentral:rRNA from 1 species